GGGGAUGUAAAGGUUUCGACGGGGAUCGCAAGCCUUUGUAAGCGAGCAGCGGUGCGGAACCGCUAUAAAAUCCGCAGCUUUAAAAAUAAACGACAACAGAACAGUUGCGUUAGCAGCCUAAGCUGCUCGUUCUUACCGAGAGUACCGUGGCUCGGAUAAGGGCGUCGACUAACGGUGAACGUAUCGGGGAGUGAGUCUUGACCCCCGAUAUGAACUAAAGACUACCGAUGAAGCAAGCCUGCCUAUGGGCGUGCUUUUUGGGGAAUCUCAAAUCACAGGCUGCGCUCGGAGAAAGCAUUGGUGAGUGGUUUUCGGACAGGAGUUCGAUUCUCCUCAUCUCCACCA
rnacentral:tmRNA from 1 species